UUCUUUCUACAGAAGCCCGUGAGGACAAAACCCAUUUAAUGAUUUGUAACAAAUGGUUACAAAACUUUCACCAAUAAUAAACAUUGUUGUUUUACACAUUUACCUCUUCACUUGUUGCCAGUGAUGAAAGGGAGUCUGGUGUGCUUGUCAUUUGGUGUCAUGUGCCGGGGUGAGUGCUCCUCUCAUUUUUGUUCCAUCUUUGAGCUGCUGUGUUUCAGGAGAGGGAGGCUCCAGCUGCAGCUCAUUAACAAUCAGCGGGCCCAGCUAUAAGAGGAGGAGGAGAACACAUCUCGACGCCGGAUGAUUAACUACAACUUGGAGUUUUGGAUCAUUUGUGGACCUUACCUUGACUCCUCAGGAUCUCCUUGGACUUCUGAAGCUUCUGGAGCUUCUCUGGUUUUCCUGUGACUCCUCUGAUUGACUACUUGAACAUUUCCACGAUCACGCUGGAUUACUCACCUGUGCCCCUUAAAUCUCCUGGACACAGCAUUCCACCGUUCUCCUCUCCUCCCUGCCGGCCCGCUCUCCUGCUCUCCUCGCGCCCCGUCUCCUGGACACCCCCUCUUGGAUUCACCCCGGCACUCCACCUACCCUCCCCAAUUCCUCAGCCCCCAGCUUCCCACGCUGCGGUUCCGUUGCAAUCCCCACUGGACCUUAUCCAGUGCGCCCUCAGUUCCCGAUUGUUUUAAAUAAAAUUCUUUAAUUUUUCUAAUUGACUCGUGAGUGGUGAAUUCUGCAUGUCUUGGGUUAAACUUGUCCCCAAAACCACGUCAUUUGGCUAGAGGUUGCACUCCCAGAGAUUUUUGACCCUAAUGGGCAUCUGUUGGUAAGAUCUUACUUAAACUAAAAUAAUGCUUGCUUGCAAUGAUUUAGGUAUGUACUGCCCCCUAUCGCCAGGGAAAAUACACAUUGUUACUUUAAUAAAGAGGACAUAUUCUGCUAAGUUCAAUUUUUUUGUAUGCUUUUGUGCCGCCAUGUGGGUCUCUCCUGCUUCUA